AGUACGCAUAUCCGAAGCAAUCGAUAUCAGUGCGAUGUCCCCGGCCAGUCAUAGCUCGGACGUCGCCUCAACAAGAUCCUUCGGAUCAUGAUGAUGGAGCUCGAGCUCCUGAGGUACAAGGCCUACACCCAGAACGUCAUCUGGUUUCUGAAGCUCGCUGGACUCUGGCCUGAAUCGCAUCCGGUGCCCAAAAAGAUACUUUCCACGAUAACGCUGAGCUCCAUUCUCGUGAUCGUGCUGACCGUGUCCAACUUUAGCUUCCACAAUCUUGGCAACAUCAUGGUGUUCACCAGUGGUAUGUGCAUGGCUGCCAGCUCUACGUCAGCCUUCUCGAAGGUCGCCCUGUUUCUGCUGCAUCGAGAGGACGUCGUCUACCUGAACAAGCAUCUGAGCGGAGGCUUCAUGCGCGACAUGGAUGAACCGGACAACCGUCCGGACCUUUUGAGCAACGUCAAGACUUUCGAGAGAUUCAUGGUUACGCACGUGAUCAGCGUUGCCAUCGCCAUGUUCACCUACAGCGUCCGUCCUCUGCUAGUCCUGCGAAAACACGGCAAGUACAUUCGAUCCUUCCCCGCGGUCUAUCCGUUCGCCUACGAACCAGGUGGAUUGGUGCACUGGAUCCUCUACGCCGUGGAGGUGUCGGGUACCGCGUCUCUCUGGACGGUGACCAUUGGGGUGGACUGCGUUUUCGGGGUCUACGCGCUCCAGGUGUGCGGCGAGCUGAGGAUUCUGUCGCGAAAAUUUCGAGAGCUCAGGGCCGACGAUAACUACAAAGAGAAGCUGAAGGAUUGCAUUCGCAGACAUCACGUGCUGAUCAACGCGAAGAACAAACUGGAGAACAUCUACGGUUUGAUCUCGAUACUGCUGAUCACGUCCACUACACUCGUGCUUUGUUCCCUUGUCUUUCAAGUCAGCGAGCUACUUGCGUACGGCGCAUCUCUGCGUCUAUCUUAUUCCAAAGUUUCUGCAAAUUUUCACCUACGCGUGGUACGGAAACCUCAUAGCCGAAGAGAGCGGAGCAUGUCUGGAUGCAAUGUACGGCUCGCACUGGACGGACUCUUGUGACAAGAAUUUCAAAAACGACAUCCUCAUAGUUCUGGCGCAAGAGCCGCUGGCCCUGGUGGCUAUGGGUUGCAUGGUUUUGCAGUUGGACUUGUUCGCGAAAACCGUCAAAACCGCAGUGUCGUACUUUUUUCUCCUUCGAACAAUGAACGAAGGAAGCGAGUAAAAGGAAUCACGAUACGAGCAUUGGAAUAGUGAAGAUUCUAUUUGACUGUUAAAAUUUAUAUUGAGAUUAUAACGUUUCUUAGAUAUCAUAGAAGAGAAAAUAACGUUGCUGGCGAGUGAUCUACUGCACUGGGAUUUUUGUAUUGUGAAUGGGUAAUAAAUUACAAGAGAUCUUUUUUUCUCAA